UACGAAGGGUGCAAGCGUUACUCGGAAUUACUGGGCGUAAAGGGCGCGUAGGCGGCAUGACAAGUCACUUGUGAAAUCUCCGGGCUUAACUCGGAACGGUCAAGUGAUACUGUCGCGCUAGAGUGCGGAAGGGGCAAUCAGAAUUCUUGGUGUAGCGGUGAAAUGCGCAGAUAUCAGGAGGAACACCAAUGGCGAAGGCAGCUCGCUGGGACGUGACUGACGCUGAGACGCGAAAGCGUGGGGAGCAAACAGG
rnacentral:rRNA from 1 species